GGAGCUGUCGCGGCAAUGUGCAGAGAUCAAACGGGCCAAUAUUUGGGAUCUUCAGCUGUGGUCUUCCGAGGUAUCAAUGACCCUUUAAUUCUGGAGACCUUUGCAUGUCGCGAAGCAUUAUCGCUAGCAGAUGAUUUGGCCGUUCAAAAUAUCUGUGUUGCUUCGGAUUGCCAAGAAGCAGUUAAUGAUAUUACUAAGGGGACAGGAGGUCCAAAUGCGGCUAUAGUACAUGAAAUAUCAAGCCGUUGUAAUAGUUUUAAUUCUAGUUCCUUUAUUUUUGAGCGUAGGAAUUUUAAUUUUGAGGCUCAUAAUCUUGCCAAGUUUGCUUGUAAUCUAGGCGUAGGUAGGCAUGUAUGGUUGGGCAAUCCUCAUGACCCAAACCUUGUACCUAUGACCAUGGUUUUGGAUGAAUAA
rnacentral:rRNA from 1 species